ACCAGACUCCUACGGGAGGCAGCAGUGGGGAAUAUUGCACAAUGGGGGAAACCCUGAUGCAGCGACGCCGCGUGAGUGAGGAAGUAUUUCGGUAUGUAAAGCUCUAUCAGCAGGGAAGAAAAUGACGGUACCUGACUAAGAAGCCCCGGCUAACUACGUGCCAGCAGCCGCGGUAAUACGUAGGGGGCAAGCGUUAUCCGGAAUCACUGGGUGUAAAGGGAGCGUAGACGGCUGUGCAAGCCUGAAGUGAAAGGCGGGGGCCCAACCCCUGGACUGCUUUGGGAACUGUACGGCUGGAGUGCAGGAGAGGUAAGUGGAAUUCCUAGUGUAGCGGUGAAAUGCGUAGAUAUUAGGAGGAACACCAGUGGCGAAGGCGGCUUACUGGACUGUAACUGACGUUGAGGCUCGAAAGCGUGGGGAGCAAACAGGAUUAGAUACCCUCGUAU
rnacentral:rRNA from 1 species